GUGCUUGCUUCAGCAGCACAUAUACUAAAAUUGAAACUAUACAGAGAAGAUUAGCAUGGCCCCUG
rnacentral:snRNA from 1 species